CUUGUAUUAUAUAAGAGGUCUAGCCUGCCCAGUGACCCAGUUUAACGGCCGCGGUAUCCUAACCGUGCGAAGGUAGCGUAAUCAUUUGUUCUUUAAAUGAGGACUAGUAUGAAUGGCAUCACGAGGGUUCCACUGUCUCCUUUUUCCAAUCAAUGAAACUGAUCUUCCCGUGAAGAAGCGGGAAUCUUAAUAUUAGACGAGAAGACCCUAUGGAGCUUCAAACUAAAUAGCACUGGCUUUUUUCUCAUCACCCCCUGGGGUUUAACACUUAUUCUAGCCUUCUAACUAUUAAUUUUGGGUUGGGGUGACCACGGAGUAAAAAUUAACCUCCACAAUGAAUAGACCUACUCUUGAGCUAAAAACCACGACUUUAAGCACCAAUAAAUUGACAUAAAUUGACCCAAUAUUUUGAACAACGAAC
rnacentral:rRNA from 1 species